rnacentral:lncRNA from 1 species
GAGCGCAGGGGGCCGGGCCUGCACCUGCCGGGGCCCGCGGAGGGGUCGGCAGCCCCGGCCCCGCGGACCCCAGCUUGGUCCUGCUCUGCUUCCGGGGUGCGGGGCGCCGGGGGUCGGAGCCUGGGGAGCCCCGAGGUCAGGGACCCGGCCCCAGCCGGCCCCCGGGGUCCCGGGAGCUGUCGGAAGGCGGGCGGCCAGGGACUUUGAACAUGCGGGGGUCGCCGUCAGCAGACCCGCCCCGGGAGGAAGGCCUGGGGAAAGGGCCGCCCGUCUGGCCCUGUGGCUGUCCCGACAGAGUCCCGAGGCACGGCGGGCCUCGUGAGCGGGGAGUGUGCAUCCCAGGGAAGACAGCGGCUCCCGGGAGGUGGCGUGCUCGUGUUCCAACCGCCGAUGCUCUCCAGAGGCGACUGCCCGUCCUCACCCCCGAAUGUCAGUUGGAGCCACCGCUGCUUCAGCCGAGCGCUACCCUCGGGCGCGGCGAGCCUGUCCGUGCUCGAGGAGGACAAGGGCCGGGGGCGGCCACCACGGCCGAGCAGGUCUCGUCGGGGAUGCAGGAGCCUCUAGACGAACCAGAGACCCAGGACCCAGCUCAAGCAGAGGCUGCACGAUUCACUGCCAAACAGCGGAUGGAGCGCGAGGAGCGGGUCGGGCACAAGCCAGGAAGCUCGCACCUUCCUAAGUGGCGACCGUGCGGCAGCGAAAUACCAUUAUUUUUGGAAAGAGAAGCUCUCCACAUUUCAGUGUGUCUGACUCAAGGAAUAUUCUGAAACCCUGCAGAACUGGUAAGUCAUAGGGGAAACUAACAUACAUUAAAACAAUAUGGAACCAUUUCUAGGUAGUGACUUUUAAUCCCAUUGUUCAUAGGGUAGAAUCAAAUGUGAAGAGUCCUUUAGGAGCUAUACACAUAACAACUUUAGAAAGUUCUGGAAGGCAUUAUUCUAGUCGUCCUAUAAACACAGCAUCCUCUCAUAAGGGUGGCAACGUGGAGCAAAUCAAAUAUUGAACAAUUUGUUACACUUCAUUUCAUUUUCCAUCUACCAACAAGUUUCCAUGUCAAACUUCAUGAUGUCAAUGUUAUUCCCAGUAAACAUUCAAGAGUAUUUCCAAUACAUUCGAGGGGUCCCUCAGGAAGUAAGUGACUGAAUGAUUCUUUGUUUUCAAAGAAAUGCGUUAUCCCUUGUGCUUAUAUAUCUCCUAGACAUAACACUUCAAUUUAUCCUGUUCUGGUCAACAGGCAAGCAAACGAAAGUCGGCUAAGUUGACCAGCGUAAUGUGGACAAGAGCAUUAUUUUUGGCAAGUCUGAC